rnacentral:lncRNA from 1 species
CAUGUUCUGUUCCACCCGCCUCCUCCACGGUUCCCUCCGGCCUCCCAUCCCCGCCUCCCACCGGCACCGGCGCUGCUGCCUCUCCCACUGGCGCCUCACUCCCUUUCUCCAGUCCGGCAGUCCCAGCAGCAGCAGCAGCAGUACAGCUUGUCCCAGGCUCCCAACAGCAGCAGCGCUCGUCCGGUCGUCCCUUGCACCGGCGCCUCCUCCGCCGGUUUUUCCAUCCGGAAGCAGCAGGCAGCAGUAGCGCUCGUCCCUUGCACAGGCGCCUUCUCCGCCUGGUUUCUCCCUCCGGCAGCAGCAGCUCGUCACUUGCACCGGCGCCGCUCACUCCGCCAGGCUAUCCUCCUCCGCC